rnacentral:rRNA from 1 species
UGGGGAAUUUUGGACAAUGGGGGAAACCCUGAUCCAGCCAUCCCGCGUGUGCGAUGAAGGCCUUCGGGUUGUAAAGCACUUUUGGCAGGAAAGAAACGUCAUGGGUUAAUACCCCGUGAAACUGACGGUACCUGCAGAAUAAGCACCGGCUAACUACGUGCCAGCAGCCGCGGUAAUACGUAGGGUGCAAGCGUUAAUCGGAAUUACUGGGCGUAAAGCGUGCGCAGGCGGUUCGGAAAGAAAGAUGUGAAAUCCCAGAGCUCAACUUUGGAACUGCAUUUUUAACUACCGGGCUAGAGUGUGUCAGAGGGAGGUGGAAUUCCGCGUGUAGCAGUGAAAUGCGUAGAUAUGCGGAGGAACACCGAUGGCGAAGGCAGCCUCCUGGGAUAACACUGACGCACAUGCACGAAAGCGUGGGGAGCAAACAGG